GGGUGAGUAGCAGUUGCCCUCGGAAGCCACAAUUUCUCCUCCUUUUCCCUCGACAUUGUUCUGCAAUAGCAUCGAUCGAACAUGAUCUUAGUUCGUAGAUACGUAUGGCUGAAGCAUAUCAUACCUUCAGGUGCACAUGACGGAGGUCGUACUGGAAGACAACGACGUGUCGAAGGCCAUCAUCGACUACAUCAAUACAAACUACAUCCAGAACAUCGUUGUCGGUGCCUCCAGCAGAAAUGCACUGACGAAGUACCGCCACUUCUUCGUAGUCUCUGCAAUCUAUGAAUCUCUCGUAUUGUUUUCCAACAGAAGAAGAAGAAAUCUCUGGUUUGGCUUUGCAGGAAGUUCAGGAACCCUGAUGUGCCCACAAACAUU
rnacentral:lncRNA from 1 species